rnacentral:rRNA from 1 species
UGGGGAAUAUUGCACAAUGGGCGAAAGCCUGAUGCAGCAACGCCGCGUGAGUGAUGAAGGUCUUCGGAUUGUAAAGCUCUGUCUUUUGGGACGAUAAUGACGGUACCAAAGGAGGAAGCCACGGCUAACUACGUGCCAGCAGCCGCGGUAAUACGUAGGUGGCGAGCGUUGUCCGGAUUUACUGGGCGUAAAGGGUGCGUAGGCGGAUGUUUAAGUGAGAUGUGAAAUACCCGGGCUUAACUUGGGUGCUGCA